rnacentral:rRNA from 1 species
AAUGGACGAAAGUCUGACGGAGCAACGCCGCGUGAACGAAGAAGGCCUUCGGGUCGUAAAGUUCUGUUGUUAGGGAAGAACAAGUACCAGAGUAACUGCUGGUACCUUGACGGUACCUAACCAGAAAGCCACGGCUAACUACGUGCCAGCAGCCGCGGUAAUACGUAGGUGGCAAGCGUUGUCCGGAAUUAUUGGGCGUAAAGCGCGCGCAGGUGGUUCUUUAAGUCUGAUGUGAAAGCCCACGGCUCAACCGUGGAGGGUCAUUGGAAACUGGGGAACUUGAGUGCAGAAGAGGAAAGUGGAAUUCCAAGUGUAGCGGUGAAAUGCGUAGAGAUUUGGAGGAACACCAGUGGCGAAGGCGACUUUCUGGUCUGUAACUGACACUGAGGCGCGAAAGCGUGGGGAGCAAACAGGAUUAGAUACCCUGGUAGUCCACGCCGUAAACGAUGAGUGCUAAGUGUUAGAGGGUUUCCGCCCUUUAGUGCUGCAGCUAACGCAUUAAGCACUCCGCCUGGGGAGUACGACCGCAAGGUUGAAACUCAAANGAAUUGACGGGGGCCCGCACAAGCGGUGGAGCAUGUGGUUUAAUUCGA